GGAUAUGAGGGCGAUCUGGCUGCAACACCCGUCCUCUUAGUGAUUGCCAGGACUAAUUGGGCUGAUUUGGCUGGCUAGGUGGGUGUCCCCUUCCUCCCUCUCCACUCUAAGUAUUUCACCCCCAAAGUUGUGCACUCGGUCAAAGAGGAUGACCACCCCUACUAAAGGGGGGCCGUUCCUUCUCACUCAUAAGCAGACCUUGAACAAUUAUAAUACUAUAAGAAAGUGAUU
rnacentral:sRNA from 1 species